rnacentral:ribozyme from 1 species
GAGAGAAAAAAAAAAUAUUAAUCUGAUUAAUUUUAUUAUUUUUAAAAGAAAAUAGCAGGAACGUUUGACUCUUCGUCUUCAUCAGACUCAUAAUGUUCCUCAAAUUCAU